rnacentral:rRNA from 1 species
UGGGGAAUUUUGGACAAUGGGCGCAAGCCUGAUCCAGCAAUGCCGCGUGCAGGAUGAAGGCCUUCGGGUUGUAAACUGCUUUUGUACGGAACGAAAAGCCUCUCUCUAAUACAGGGGGGUGAUGACGGUACCGUAAGAAUAAGCACCGGCUAACUACGUGCCAGCAGCCGCGGUAAUACGUAGGGUGCAAGCGUUAAUCGGAAUUACUGGGCGUAAAGCGUGCGCAGGCGGUUUUGUAAGACAGUGGUGAAAUCCCCGGGCUCAACCUGGGAACUGCCAUUGUGACUGCAAGGCUGGAGUGCGGCAGAGGGGGAUGGAAUUCCGCGUGUAGCAGUGAAAUGCGUAGAUAUGCGGAGGAACACCGAUGGCGAAGGCAAUCCCCUGGGCCUGCACUGACGCUCAUGCACGAAAGCGUGGGGAGCAAACAGGAUUAGAUACCCUGGUAGUCCACGCCCUAAACGAUGUCAACUGGUUGUUGGGGAUUUAUUUCUUCAGUAACGAAGCUAACGCGUGAAGUUGA